rnacentral:tRNA from 1 species
GCACUAGUGGUUUAGUGGUAGAAUAGUACCCUGCCACGGUACAGACUCAGGUUUAAUUCUCGGGUAGUGCA